rnacentral:ncRNA from 1 species
UUGAGCCGUAUGCGGUGAAAGCCGCACGUACGGUUCUUAGGGGGGGAUGAGCCAGCAAUGGCCUAUCCCUAC